rnacentral:rRNA from 1 species
GUGAGGAAUUUUCCGCAAUGGGCGAAAGCCUGACGGAGCAAUGCCGCGUGAAGGAUGAAGGCCUAUGGGUUGUAAACUUCUUUUCUCAGAAAAGAAUUAUGACGGUAUCUGAGGAAUAAGCAUCGACUAACUCUGUGCCAGCAGCCGCGGUAAGACAGAGGAUGCAAGCGUUAUCCGGAAUGAUUGGGCGUAAAGCGUCUGUAGGUUGUUUAAAAAGUAUUCUGUCAAAGAUUAGGGCUUAACCCUAGAUAGGCAGAAUAAACUUUUAAGCUAGAGUUUGGUAGAGGCAGAGGGAAUUCCCGGUGGAGCGGUGAAAUGCGUAGAUAUCGGGAGGAACACCAAAGGCGAAGGCACUCUGCUGGGCCAAUACUAACACUGAGAGACGAAAGCGAGGGGAGCAAAUGGGAUUAGAUACCCCGGUAGUCC